GAUGAACGCUGGCGGCGUGCCUAAUACAUGCAAGUCGAGCGAACAGACGAGGAGCUUGCUCCUCUGACGUUAGCGGCGGACGGGUGAGUAACACGUGGAUAACCUACCUAUAAGACUGGGAUAACUUCGGGAAACCGGAGCUAAUACCGGAUAAUAUAUUGAACCGCAUGGUUCAAUAGUGAAAGACGGUUUUGCUGUCACUUAUAGAUGGAUCCGCGCCGCAUUAGCUAGUUGGUAAGGUAACGGCUUACCAAGGCAACGAUGCGUAGCCGACCCGAGAGGGUGAUCGGCCACACUGGAACUGAGACACGGUCCAGACUCCUACGAGAGGCAGCAGUAGGGAAUCUUCCGCAAUGGGCGAAAGCCUGACGGAGCAACGCCGCGUGAGUGAUGAAGGUCUUCGGAUCGUAAAACUCUGUUAUUAGGGAAGAACAAAUGUGUAAGUAACUAUGCACGUCUUGACGGUACCUAAUCAGAAAGCCACGGCUAACUACGUG
rnacentral:rRNA from 1 species